GCUUUGAAGUGUGGACGCCAGUCUGCAUGGAGCCGGCCUUGAAAUACCACCCUUUAAUGUUUGAUGUUCUAACGUGGACCCGUGAUCCGGGUUGCGGACAGUGUCUGGUGGGUAGUUUGACUGGGGCGGUCUCCUCCUAAAGAGUAACGGAGGAGCACGAAGGUUGGCUAAUCCUGGUCGGACAUCAGGAGGUUAGUGCAAUGGCAUAAGCCAGCUUGACUGCGAGCGUGACGGCGCGAGCAGGUGCGAAAGCAGGUCAUAGUGAUCCGGUGGUUCUGAAUGGAAGGGCCAUCGCUCAACGGAUAAAAGGUACUCCGGGGAUAACAGGCUGAUACCGCCCAAGAGUUCAUAUCGACGGCGGUGUUUGGCACCUCGAUGUCGGCUCAUCACAUCCUGGGGCUGAAGUAGGUCCCAAGGGUAUGGCUGUUCGCCAUUUAAAGUGGUACGCGAGCUGGGUUUAGAACGUCGUGAGACAGUUCGGUCCCUAUCUGCCGUGGGCGCUGGAGAACUGAGGGGGGCUGCUCCUAGUACGAGAGGACCGGAGUGGACGCAUCACUGGUGUUCGGGUUGUCAUGCCAAUGGCACUGCCCGGUAGCUAAAUGCGGAAGAGAUAAGUGCUGAAAGCAUCUAAGCACGAAACUUGCCCCGAGAUGAGUUCUCCCUGAGACUUAGAGUCUCCUGAAGGAACGUUGAAGACGACGACGUUGAUAGGCCGGGUGUGUAAGCGCAGCGAUGCGUUGAGCUAACCGGUACUAAUGAACCGUGAGGCUUAACCUUACA
rnacentral:rRNA from 1 species